UACGGGGGAUGCAAGUGUUAUCCGGAAUAAUUGGGCGUAAAGCGUCUGUAGGUGGUUGACCAAGUCUGUUGUUAAAAAUCAGGGCUUAACCCUGAUCCGGCAACAGAAACUAGUAAACUUGAGUACGGUAGGGGCAGAGGGAAUUCUCGGUGUAGUGGUGAAAUACGUAGAUAUCGAGAAGAACACCAAUAGCGAAAGCACUCUGCUGGGCCUGAAACUGACAUUGAGAGACGAAAAGCUAGGGGAGCAAAAGGG
rnacentral:rRNA from 1 species